UGUAGUUCAGGGUAGAGCAUGUACCUGUCAUGCAUGAGGCCCUGGGUUUGAGUCCCAGCA
rnacentral:tRNA from 1 species